rnacentral:sRNA from 1 species
GAUUUAUUGGCAAAGUUUCUCCAAUAGGCUUUUGCGUGGCAUCUACAAUCAUCUUUUUUCUUAUCU